GAUGAACGCUGGCGGUAUGCCUAACACAUGCAAGUCGUACGAGAGUUUUUAACUCAAGUGGCGGACGGGUGAGUAACACGUGAGAAUUUACCUUUAGGAGGGGGAUAACAGAGUGAAAACGCUGCUAAUACCCCAUAUGCUUUCGAGUGAAGUGGAUUUAUUCGCCUAAAGAGAAGCUCGCGGCUGAUUAGCUUGUUGGUAAGGUAAUGGCUUACCAAGGCGACGAUCAGUAUCUGGUUUGAGAGGACGAUCAGACACACUGGAACUGAGACACGGUCCAGACUCCUACGGGAGGCAGCAGUGGGGAAUUUUCCGCAAUGGACGAAAGCCUGACGGAGCAAUACCGCGUGAGGGAUGACGGCCUAUGGGUUGUAAACCUCUUUUAUCAAGGAAGAAGAUCUGACGGUACUUGAUGAAUAAGCCACGGCUAAUUCCGUG
rnacentral:rRNA from 1 species